UGGGAUUUCCCCAUGGAAAAAGGGUCUGAUCCUCAUGGGAUUUCCCCCUGGGAUUUCCCCAUGGAAAAAGGGUCUGAUCCUCAUGGGAUUUCCCUGUGGAAAAAAGGAUCUGAUCCCCCUGUAAGGAAGUUCCUCCCAGGGGGUUCAGAUCCAGAUUUGGGGUUGGGAUUGGGAUUUCCCCGUGGAAAAAGGGUCUGAUCCCCAUGGAAGAAAGCUCCUCCCAGGGGGGUUCAGACCCGAAUUUGGGAUCGAGUUUGGGAUUUCCCCAUGGAACAAGGGUCAGAUCCCCCUGCAAGGCAGCUCCUUUCAGUGGGUUCAGAUCCAGAUUUGGGAUUGGGAUUUCCCCAU